GCGAUGGAAACACCAGGAGGGGAGAGACCUCCUUGCGAGCAUGCUGCUCGCCCUGGAGAAGGAAGAGGAAUCCGAGGCGCGCACCAAGGAGGGAGGGGAUCGCUGAUGCUGCUGCUUUCUCUGUAAGGCUUUCCUGGGAAGGAGGGCUUGAGUCUCCUUCCCUUUGGAGAACUUGAAAAGGGAACCAGAAGCGAGAGGAGUCAGGAGUCACGGAGAGAAGGAAAACAGCCAGGGAUAUCAGUUACACACACAAGCUUCGACCUUCAUUCUGCUUGGCGCCUCCUGCACACGUUGUUGUUUGUAAGGAACGUGAAAAUUAAGUUCUCAAGUUGGCCCCUUGGAUGCGAAAGUCUUUCCCGUUUACAGAAUGCGCAAGUGUGUGAUUCUCUCUCAUACAGAGAGACACUAGAAAAUUAUCGUCUUAGAAUAAAAUCUGACCGAUAGAAUAAAAAAUUGUCUCUCUCUCCCCCCCGCUGAACUUUGUCUCCCUUUGCAAAUAAAAAGAACGCCCAGCUCUAUGA